rnacentral:lncRNA from 1 species
CCUACUCCUACCAACCUUAUUCGGGGCCCAUCUCCCCAGCCCCUCGGCCUUUGCCCCGCCCCGCCUCGUCUUUCCCGAGCUCACUACUAUGCUGCCAAGGACAGGCUGUGGGGACCUGGAUUUGCUAGGUCCAGGCCACCUCCACUUUCCAAACUUUGAGAGUCCAGGAGCAGAAGCAAAAGAGUGGGACGGGCGGGGUCGAGAUGCGAAAGCUGCCUAAGGAGGUUGGGGAGAAGGGACUAGCAUCCGCGAUGAAUUUCUCAAAGGACAAGUCAGCCCAGCCAGAGUAAAAAAGAAGAAGGAGCAGGAAGAGGAAGAGGAGGAAAAGGAGGAGAGAAGGAAGAAGAGGAAAUGAAAAGGGAGGAGAAGGAAGAAGAAGAAGAAGAUGAUGAUAAUGAAAGAGGGGAAAAGAGAGGAGGAGGAGAAAGAUUUGGGGCUGGACCUAUACAUUCAUUUGUAUAGAUUCUGAGAAACUGUCCUGGAGGUAUUUGUUUCUAUUCCAUGCUCUUUGUCCUUCUCUGUGUCAAGUCCUAGAGAUGAUCCACCAGAGACCAGGAAUUUAAGCCAUGAUGACCUUGAACCUAUGAUUGCAGACAGGAUGGUACAGGCUGCCAGGCUGGCAUGGAAGCCCCCAAAAGCCAGAGUAAUCGUUACUCAGACCUGAAGUAGACUUGGGCUUAUGCUGUGCUCUGCAGGAACUGAGCUAAAUUAUGGACAUAAUCUUCUUCAACUCCUUAGAAGAUGGCAAAAGGGGGAGAAGGGAAAUGAUGUAUUCCCUGCGUUGGGG